GAAGAUUUAGUUAAAUUUAUAUAACAUUAGCUUGUCAUGCUAAAAUAGUCCUUAGACAAUUCUCU
rnacentral:tRNA from 1 species